CGUUUCAACUCUCUGUAAACGGGGCACAAAUCGUUGUAUGCUUGGAUAAACCCAUUGUAUCAUCCAUCUAGUUGACCCUUCUUUGGUGGACCAACACAUAUAAAUUCACAAUGACUGGGGAAUUUUCCCCUGUUGACCAUUUUUGUUUUCAGUCAUCUAUUCGAUCAAAUGGCCAGGACGAUUAUGUCAGUUUGACUUUUGAACUAUGGUCAAAAGUCAAACUGAGGGCUAUAUAAUUUGAUUGGUCUGUUUUCAGAUGAAUGUGUGUUAUGUGUAUGGUGGACGAGACAACAUAAAGUGAAGAGUGCUGGUGAAUGGCCUGGAUCUCCAACUGAGGUUCCCAGAGCAGAUUCAGAUGGGUAUCCAAUCUAAGUGUAGUUUGAAAUCAUCCAAUCACCCUGCCAUGUUUACUUUGUUUUUGUUGAUAAACUGAUGGUGUUCAUGGGAGAAAUUGAAGCAUUCUGUUUCCAUGGUUACAGCAGUCAAGCCAAGGAAUAAUAUCAGAAGAGUUGAUUAAUCACCUCAUGAGUAUUCUUGGUCACGUAAUGCAGCUCAAAACAUUGAAGGUCAAGGGCAUUGAGUACAGAGUAUAACUCUCUCCCAAAUGAAUCUUCCCAACCAUUUGACUGUGAUUGAGAUGAAUUUGUCAUGGUCUCAAGAGCUGAUGUGAAUCCUACGCGAUUGAGGAAUUCAUGAUUUCAACGUGAUUCAUGACAAGCGAUGAGUACAUAGUCCACUUCAGCUUAUGGGCUAUUUCAAAGUUCGCUAUCAUCUUGAUGAGGACCCAAAGACUUUGAAGGUGUUUCCCAUUCCACUUCAUGAUGCCAGUGGCUCAACUCUGCAUUAUGACCGGCUUAGCAUUUCACCUGAUGGAAAGAUAUUGGCAGCAACCCAUGGUUCCACAUUGUAAUGGUCAUGUGCUGAAACUGGAAAGGUUUUGGAUACAUCUGAAAAAUCACAUGAAGGUGUAUUUGGGUGGACAAUACGUAAACAAUCCUACACUGUCAGAUGUUACGUUUCUAGUUGAAGGGAUUUGAGUGAGAAUGAGUUAGUCGGGACAAUUCCACCAAUACUAGGCAAUCUGUCCUAUACUGGCAAGCUGUACCUACACAGUAACAAGCUCACUGGGCCAAUUCCACCCGAAUUGGGGAACAUGUCCAAGCUAAGCUAUCUGCAAUUGAACAACAAUGAACUGGUAGGUAGCAUUCCGGCCGAGCUUGGACAGCUGGAGUGAUCUGACAGUGGGAAUAUUGCCAACAACAACCUUGAAGGACCAA